GGUGCUGUGGCUCAAGUGGUAGAGCACUAGCCUUGAGCUGAAGAUGGGUUCAAUUCCUCAGCACCA
rnacentral:tRNA from 1 species